CGGAGGUACUCGAGUGGCGAACGGGUGAGUAACACGUGGGUGAUCUGCCCUGCACUCUGGGAUAAGCCUGGGAAACUGGGUCUAAUACCGGAUAGGACCAUGCUUUAGUGUGUGCGGUGGAAAGUUUUUCGGUGUAGGAUGAGCCCGCGGCCUAUCAGCUUGUUGGUGGGGUAAUGGCCUACCAAGGCGGCGACGGGUAGCCGGACUGAGAGGUUGGUCGGCCACAUUGGGACUGAGAUACGGCCCAG
rnacentral:rRNA from 1 species